UCUGCUACGGGUGGCGCUGUUGCUUGCUUCUGGAGGCGCUAUUCAACCUCUUUAAUAUCUGAUACGCACCUCAUUGAGGUGCUUCGAUAUUAAACUGAUUUUUGGACCUCGGCGAGAUGUCAGGGGCUUGCUCCGCUCUCGCCACGGGUUGGCCUGGUAUUGCAGUACCUCCAGGAUCGGCCCAUAAUAA